rfam:Octopus bimaculoides Scaffold62237_contig_4, whole genome shotgun sequence.
AGCGGUUUAGCUUAAAUGGUAAAGCACUUUGACCGGAAAUUGAACGGAUAUGAGUUCGUGUCUCAUAGCUGGUU